CCGCGAAGCACACCUAUUGUUGCUAUUCCAAAACAAGGUUGUGAAGGCAGGACUCCUUCGCGUGCCACAAAUUAGCGGCGAUUGCAUCUCAAAACGCUACCAGAACCCCGCGAAGAGUCCUUGAAAGCGCGCGAACUCUGCUGCCGUCGCUGCUCCACUGCGAAGGUGCUGCCGAUCCUGGGUCCUCUGCCCGUCGUGCACGAAAAUGUCGAGCCACCCUCCACCAUUCGCCAUCCUAAGCUAUCGCGGCCUCUUCCUGUCCCUGGGAAAUUGGAGAGCCGAGACUUCUAUCUCAUUACCAGAAGCUGUUGGUUCGCAGAGAAGAUGAUAGAGGCGUCUCUAUUCUCCUCGUUAGACCACGCAACAUCCUUUGCAAGGCAGUUGUGGUUCAAAGAGUCGCGUAUACAGUCAUGGCUGAAUGCCUUUUCUGGACAAAGUCACCUCUAUCGAGCCAUUGGUCAUGCGCCAACUUCUCUAAUGAGGGUUUGUUUGCUGAUCCCC